GGUAUUGGCCUACCGUGGCUAUGACGGGUAACGGGGAAUUAGGGUUCGAUUCCGGAGAGGGAGCCUGAGAAACGGCUACCACAUCUAAGGAAGGCAGCAGGCGCGCAAAUUACCCAAUCCUAAUACAGGGAGGUAGUGACAAGAAAUAACAAUACAGGACCUUACGGUUUUGUAAUUGGAAUGAGUUAAGUAUAAACCCCUUAACAAGUAUCAAUUGGAGGGCAAGUCUGGUGCCAGCAGCCGCGGUAAUUCCAGCUCCAAUAGCGUAUAUUAAAGUUGUUGCAGUUAAAAAGCUCGUAGUUGGAUUUCUGUUAAUACUUGCAUGUGCUAUCUUCGAUACGCGUGUAAUAUUAGCAUCAUCCGCGUCACCUUCGGUGUGCGGAACUUUACUUUGAGAAAAUUAGAGUGCUUAAAGCAGGCUUUUGCCUUGAAUACUCCAGCAUGGAAUAAUAUGAAGGAUUUUUAUCUUUCUUAUUGGUUCUAAGAUAAAAAUAAUGGUUAAUAGGGACAGUUGGGGGCAUUUGUAUUUAACAGUCAGAGG
rnacentral:rRNA from 1 species